UUUCCGUAGGUGAACCUGCGGAAGGAUCAUUAUCGUACAAAAUGUGAGGGGCAUCCGGGGGCUGUCUCUGACUGAAAAGUCGUGCACGCCCGAGUGUGGCCUCUUGCAUAAUAAUCCAGCUCACCCUUUGUGCAUCACCGCGUGGGCACCCUUCGGGAUCAUCUCGGAGGGGGGCUCGCGUUUUCACACAAACCCCCCUUUUAAAAGUGUAAAAUGACCACAUAUAUGCAAUCAAUACAACUUUCAACAACGGAUCUCUUGGCUCUC
rnacentral:misc_RNA from 1 species